GAACGCCGUAUGAGGGGAAACUCUCACGUACGGUGUGAAGCGGGGGAAAAUAAGUAAUCUGACUGUCUCAAUAGGAUAAAAGAUGAACAUCACCUAUCGCAC
rnacentral:ncRNA from 1 species